rnacentral:tRNA from 1 species
GUUAGUUUCGGUUUAAUCCGAAAAAGAACA